AAAACUCAAAAAACGGUACUCAGUUCGGAUAAGAGGCUGAAACUCGCCUCUUUGAAGUCGGAAUCGCUAGUAAUCGCAGAUCAGCAUGUUGCGGUGAAUACGUUUCCUGGUCUUGUACACACCGCCCGUCAAACCAUGAGAGUCGCCAACACCCGAAGUCCGCUUUGCGGCCUAAGGUGGGGAGAUGAUUGGGGUUAAGUCGUAACAAGGUACC
rnacentral:rRNA from 1 species